GAUGAACGCUAGCUACAGGCUUAACACAUGCAAGUCGAGGGGUAACGAGAGGAAAGCUUGCUUUCCUUGUCGACGACCGGCGCACGGGUGGGUAACGCGUAUCCAACCUGCCCCCAACUAGGGAAUAACCUUGCGAAAGUAAGACUAAUACCCUAUAAUUUCCUCAGAUGUCAUCUGACGAGGAAUAAAGAUUUAUCGGUUGUGGAUGGGGAUGCGGCUGAUUAGCUUGUUGGCGGGGUAACGGCCCACCAAGGCAACGAUCAGUAGGGGUUCUGAGAGGAAGGUCCCCCACAUUGGAACUGCGACACGGUCCAAACUCCUACGGGAGGCAGCAGUGAGGAAUAUUGGUCAAUGGGCGGAAGCCUGAACCAGCCAAGUAGCGUGCAGGAUGACGGCCCUAUGGGUUGUAAACUGCUUUUAUACAGGAAUAAAGUUAGCCACGUGUGGUUAUUUGUAGGUACUGUAUGAAUAAGGACCGGCUAAUUCCGUGCCAGCCGCCGCAGUAA
rnacentral:rRNA from 1 species